UGGUGAAUCGGCACAAGCAGACUCCGCUGAUGCUCGCGGCGAUGCACGGCAAGAUCCACUGCGUGCUCAGGCUCCUCCAGGCCGGCGCCAAUAUCUUAAUGUUCGAUUCGGUG